rnacentral:lncRNA from 1 species
GAGAGAGAGAGAGAGGAGGGAUUUGGUUGGCUUGAUACACGCUUGAAGCCACUCUUAUCUUUCAUCCCUUCUCUUGUUUGGUUUUGGUCUUGGUUUUCCUUCCCUCACAUUACUCCUGAUCCAGCUGGGCCAUCAGGAAGAAAGGGGGAUUGGAAAUGGACUUCUUGGAGGGUGGAGAUUCUUUUAAUUUUCUCCUCUCGGUUUCUUCUUCCCUCUUGGGUGGUAGAGAGAGAAGGAGGAGGGGGUUGAAUGGCUGCUGUGCUGUGAUGUUGCGGUUGCUGCUUGGGUACUCACUUGAAGGGGAGAUGGAGGGAUGGGACUUUUAUUAAUUAGAUGGAGCCAAUUUCCUAUAAUGCCCCUACUUUCUUUUAUAGAGAAGCUCCUCUCUGGACAAAUUCUUUUCUUUACCUUGGCCAUGAAGUGCCAUGGGAUGACAUUUUCCUAUUCCGCUCUUGCUUGACAUGAUAAACAAUAUUGCCAAGCAUUAUCUCAGUUAUUUAAUCAGUUUCAUGGCCCUUCUUUUAGGAUAAUUACUUUUUUACACUUCCAUUCAAAAAUAAUAUUAAAUUAAAAAGGUUUCUUGCCUAUCUUUGUUAGAUUCAUGUAUCUUUGUUGAAAUAGUGUACUUGAUAGCUAUCCAUUUUCAUAUCAUUUUUUAAAUAUUUUAUAUUUAUUAAAAAAAUUUAUUAUUUAAAAAAAGGCCUCAUUUAUUGGAUUCGCCUUAGGCCCCCAAAUGUAUUGGGCCGCCCCUGAAUUGCCACCGUGGCUCAAAUUGAUAUCCUGACUAUUCUCCUCUGUUGGUAUAUCAGGCUAAAACCAUUCUUAUUGUGUUUGUUGAUAACAUCAGAGUGCUAGCUUUGGAAUGUGCACCAUAUUAUCCAAGCAUCAUAAAAGCUAAGAGGUCAUAUUACUUAUUAGAUGUAGUACAUUAUGAUGGUGUUGGCGAAGUCUUUUACAUGCUAGGAAUAGGUGGUAUUGUGGUAAUAAUAGGCUUGACAAAGGUUCUUGAUGUGGUGCAGAUAUGGUAGGAAAAGAAGGUGAAGCUGUUUGGCAUGUUGAUUGGAUAACUAAGAGGAAGGGUGGGUUAAGGGAAGGGACUCUCUUUUGUUAAUAUUUGUUCACUGGAAUGUUUAGCAUUUUGAAGUUGGUCAAGGGGUUAUAGGGUUGUAAAUGAUACAAUAAUAUAUCACCCCAAAUGUUUAUAUUGCAUCAUAUGAAUGAUUACUUUAGUUGGACUAUUCUUGCAUCAUCCACAACUGUAUAACCUCUCGAGUGAACACAAAAUAUUAAGGUUUCCUAUGACCAAAAUAUUUGACAAAGGGAGCUUCUUCCCCCACCCACCCUCUCUUUCUCUCACUAGCCAGUCCACACACUAGACAACUUCAACUUCGCUUGACACCAUCUGCCAUGUUUGGCACCGUUGUUGGCCCUGAUGUCGCCUCUUCUCCUCUCCUUAGCCUUCAUCCUUCCCAUCAAAGCCGCUGUCAGUAUUGGUGUUCCCUAUACUAAUUACAUGUCUUGAUUAAUCAAUACUUACUUUCAAACCCUUCUCACACCAAAAAAAAUCCCAGAUCCUGUUGGCUUGUACUCGGUUCUCUCCUGUAAAUCUGUCCCACCCUUAGUGAAUGCAUAGAUAUUCUUCUAAAGAUGGCAUAAGAAGACCCACAUUUGACACUCUUGGUUCUUGAACUUGAGCUGCCAAUGCCCAUGGGAGUUACUGCAUAGAAAACUUUAUUAGAUUGACCAGCUAGUACUUACCUAUGUUGCUAAGUGCUAUCCUCUUCACAAUUAUGGCACAUGUGCUACCUUCCCCAUUCCCAUUAUCAUAAAGGCUUCUUGAUGGGUAACAUUUGAAAGGAAAAGCCGGUUUUUGCAUGCAUGUAAUUUUAAAAUUUUUUAGAAAACGCAGCGGAAAGAUAGAAUUAAACUCUUUAAUUCCAAGCAUGCAAGGGAGAUCAUAUCUUAGAAAUAAAUUACAGGAACGUUUAAACUAUUUAUGUAAAAAUAACUAUAAGCAUGAUUAAUCAUGGAAUUAGAAAAUCAGCAACCCUAGUUAAGUUCUAAACCUAACUAAGAUAAAAUAAAUCUCAUACCUUAUGAUGAAGAGGAUGGAUCUGAAGAUCUGAAAGUCGAGCCUCGCAGCCACACACAUGUCUGGCCUCUACGGAUGAUCCACGCGAAGCUCCGGGUUGAUCUAAUCCCGCGGAAGUGCUAGCUUGUGGGGAACCUGUUGUGGCUGAUUUUGUUCUUCCUAAAAUCAAUCAACCUUUGAUUGAUCUUAUGAGAGGAAGGAGGAAGAUGAAGAAAGAGAAGAUGGGAAGAGAUGAUGUGAUCCUUUUUUGAAUUUUCAGAACUCUAAGUUCUUCAAAUAUUAAUCUCCCAAACCCUUGGCGUGGANNNNNNNNNNNNNNNNNNNNCCCCCUAUAGGCGCCCACUUUUGCCAACUGAUUUGGCAAUUAAAAUCCUUACAAAAUAGGGGUUAUUACGGCAGCCAAGAGGAGGAAAGAUUGCAUCUUUUAUGCACCUUGAAUCCCUAAUAAAAAAGGGAUUCAAGCACCUCCCAAAAACAAGGCUGCCGCCCAUGUUUGCGCCCAAAGAAGGACUCUUAAUUAUCUCGUGAUGGCGCCAACUAUUGGCAAUGAAAUCCCCUAAAAAAUAGGGCUUCAUCACGUGGAAUAUCUGACAGAUCUGGAGAUUUUAUCAGCACCUUGACUCCCUACAAAUUAGGGAGUCUUGCGCCCAAGAAAACAUCCAUACACGCCCCCUUUGAUCUUGCGUUCAAGAGUCCUUCUCAAAGAAGGAUUCUUGCACGAAUUAAUUCCCUAAAUUUAAGGAAGUUUCCACGGCUGAAAACUCUCCCUUUUGGUGCCUACAAAUCCCACGCCAUGAAUCCCAAAAAAUAAGGACUCAUGGCGCUUUGAUUUGUUAUGCUGCAUCCUUAUCUCUUGUGCCAACAACUUGGCGCAAGAGCUCCCUACUUCUUAGGGAUUUAAUGCCCCAAAAAAAAGAAAGAAUUAGCCAUCAGAUGCCCACGCCUCCCAGCAUUAUUCAUGCCAACUAUUUGCCAAAAAAUAUUAGGAGAGGCACUACGAAUUUAGGGGAUAAUGGUGAGGUGUCAUUUCUUCUCCAAGAGGGAAAGCUAGGUUCCUAAAUUUUAGAAAUUCUUCUCCAUAAUAAAUUCUGAUUAUUUGGACUCUUAAUCCUCAUCAAAUAAGGACUCUUAAUUGACUUGAGUCAAGCCCAAUCCAAUUGGGUCAAGUUCGAUCAAUUAGGUUUUGCCCAAUCGGCUUGGAUCGAACCCGGUCGAAUUAGGUCAAACCCAAAUUUAGCCCAAAUUGAAUCUAAUUCAAUUUUGGCUUAAUUAAAAUCCAAUAAUUCAAUCAAAUUGAAUUUAUUAGUAAUCCAAUUACUAAUUAACCUCCAAUAAUUCAAUAAUUAUUUUAAUGCAACUUUUGCUUAGGAUAAUUUGUCAAUCGAAUUGACCAAAUUAUCCCUGAAUGAUUCUUAAUCAUCAAUCAGCCAUUUGAUCAACCUAGAAACUUCUAUGCGUGUGACCCCAUAGGUUCGAACCUAAGCCGGUAGCACAAGAAUAACUUCUUACUAAUCGAAAUGACCAUUUAGCAAUGGUACUCGACGUCCGGAUAGGCCGAAUGUAUGUGAAGCAAAUAUUCUGAAACUCUGGAGUCUGGACUAUGGUUACUGUAUAAUUCAUCCCUUUGACUCCUAAUGCCAGAAUGACUUCAGAGUUCUGUCAACUCUGUAAUAAGUACAUCCUCUAUGUGAUCAACUUUAGAAAUUCUGUGACUCCUCACAAGGAUUACUCUGGCCAAGGUUUUGCUAAAUUGAACACAAAGCAUUAUCUCCUGUUUACAGGAGGGGUCAAUUCCAUCUUGAUUCACGCACUGAUUUCGCAAGUACUUGAUUGCACCCAGUAACCUUCCGUCCUAGAAUUAGAAAUUCUGCUAGUUCGGUACCAAAGUACAGUGAGUUGCUUGCUAAUCACUGUGGUGAUCUCAGGUCUGAGGGAUACUUAUACCCAUAUCCACUCGGAACAUCUCUCAACAGUAGAGUGUUUCGGAAUUGGUCACGUUCAGUGAAAUGUACUCCUACACUUCACCUGUGCGACAUAUCAGUGUCUCCACACUCCUUGGUUAAGAGGACAACCAUCGUAUAUGUCUCACAACGACCUAAUCUCGACCAUGCUAUCGUCCUAUUAACAGCAAAUCAUUUGGUCGCGAACAGGUUUAAGGACUUGAAGAUAAAUCCUCCUUUAUCAUAAAACAAGUCCUAUGGACUUCAUCAUAUAAGAGUUCAUUUGAAGAUGUACAAUGAAAUGAUGAAUAAUGCCAAAUAACAUUUUAUUAAUUUAUCAAUUUAUUUACAAAAUUUAAUCAUCAGCGCAUUGACGAUUGACUCUUAGGAUACAGUUCCCAACAACAUUCAAGGUCUAUGGUGUCUGCCUGGUUCUUAGAUACCCAGGUUUUUCUGUAGGAAGCUCAGUUUGCAGGAGGCUGUGGUGCAAGUUUUUGCUCUUGGGUAUCUCAAUAGUGGUAAUGCACUUGAAUAUGUGAAGCCAAGUGCCUUUCUUGUUGCAAUAUCAACAGAUGAUCCUAACAUGGCCUUGUAGGCAUUGCACCACUACAAAUAGGUGCCCCCACUUCUAUAAGUUGCUUGUGCGGUGGAAACCAUUGAGAUCCUCUUACUGAUGUCAUACUUUUCGUAGGAAACUUUUUUUUGGUGUCAGUACGAAAUUUUUUUGGUGUACCGAGUGUCAGUACGCCACUUGUACCGGUACCAGUACCGAACUGGUACGGUACGGUACGCUCCGUACUGUUCGAUUUGGGCCGGUACGACAUACCAUGGGUUAGGUCUAUUUUGAACCCAAUCCAAUUAGUUAGGAUGGGUAAUAAUUUUAAGUCGACAAUUCGAUUAAGACCCAAUCUGAAUGACUCGACUGAAUAACUAGACCAUACUUGAGCUAAGGUCGAUUUGGUGGAUAAUAAUCUAACCCAAAAAGACUUUUAUAUUAAUAUCAAGUGAGCUUAUAUUUAUGUAACCCAAGACCUGUUGUACCACUUGAUAUAGGGCGUACUGUACCGUACCGAGAGAAAACGGGUACGAAACAUACCUUCAUGUCGGUAUAAGCUCUGUAUCACCUGUACUGAGGCGUACCGAGGUACGUACCGGUGCGUACUGAGGCAUACCGAGAUAAAAAUUGAGAAAAAUGGUUAGAGAGCUAUUUCGGUACAGAAAUGUACUGUACCGUACCAUACCGAACCGAUAAGGUAACAAUUCGGUAUCCGGUACCGAUACGGUAUCCGAUACCGAGAUUGCGGACUUUGAUGUAACCUUUGUACUUUGGAUGCCCAGCUUUAGAUCUUUAUCUAAUGGUUGAACCGUGUAGGGCUUAAAAUGAUCAGGGAGGAGUGCCAGAAAUUCUUGAGCUUGGUAGGGUUUUAGAUUGGACACCUGGGCAGUAUUUGAAUUGCUUUCUCUCAGAACUGUUGAGGGAGUGAAAUGGACUUUUUUGGGACUUUCAUAAUUUAGAUCAGGUCUGAAUCGGCCCUGAUUUCUCAUCUGAUCAGAUUGUGUCAGGCUUUUCAUAUUUUGGUGCCCCCUAUCUGAUCAGAUUCUGACUUGUCAAGAAGCAUAUAUAAGUAAUUUUAAGAAAAAUAAAAGAUUGUUUCUGUGAAGAUACUUUAUUAUUCUGUUACAUAUAAGCAAAAGGUAUUUUAAGGGCAGAAUUUGGGAAUCAGGAAAACAGGAAGUUGAUUAGCUGGUAAGAAAUAAUGGAGAACGUUUCUCAUUAAUUAAAUUUGCAGAUUGUAUGAUUAUGUUCCUUGGCUUUUUUUCCAGUUAAUUAAUUUAUGCUGCUCUUAUUCUAUGGAAUCAGGUUUCUUUGAUCCCUCAACUUGGAGGACCGUGGAUUCAAGGACUGGUGGUAUUAGAAAGUCAGCAAUAUCCUCUUCUACAUGGCUGGUUCUGAAAAUACUUCGAAGUAGAGGUGAGUUUACAUCUCUUUAAGAUUCCCUUGUGCAGACCUACAUUUUUUAAAUCUUUUAAGCUUGAUCUAAUAGCACCUUGAAUGUCUAAGGAUCUGUAUUUUAAAAUGAUGUUAUUCAUUGCUAUUUUGCUUAUCCUGUCUUUUUUUGCUUUUGCUUUAUAAUGCUGAAUUAGGAGAAAUGAUAUUAGGAUAUGGUAAUUUUGAGGCCUAAGGAUCAGAUUAGAAUCAGUGUUGAUGUAGGUUCUAUCAAACUAAAUUCAAAACAAUGAAACAAGCUUGCCAUUUUUGUCUAAAAUUUAACUCUAUGAUCAUGUAUGUUUCUUCAUUUAUUUGUUUGCAGUCAUAUUUUCAAAACUGCUGAAAUUGUUUACUGGUAUAAGUGGUCAUAUUUUUAAUGUUGAAGAGCAUUGCAUUUUUGACUCAAGUGGUUUAUAUGCAGUAAAAGCUAAUCAUGCAUGACUACCUCAACCUUCUGUAUCUCUUAGCCUGAAGACUAAGAAGAUACCUGCAUAACUUAUUACAAUUGCAGGAAAAAAUUCGAAUUGGCCACAUUACAUGCACGCACGCACGUGGACACGGGCACGUACAUAAGUACUUAUAUACAUGUAUGCAUACAUACAUAUGUACACACAUAAACAUACAUACAUACAUGUAAGAAUACCUCAACCUUUUAUAUCUCUCAGCCUGAAGAUUAAUAAGAUAAUUGUAUCUGUUAUUAUGAUUGUAGGGAAAAGGCCGAAUUGGCCAUACAGAGGGACACACAAGAUACAUAGACAUACGCAAGAUACACGUACAUAGACAUACGCAAGAAUUAAAAUGCAGUUUAGGCCUUUUCUGUAAGACUGACUGUGUUUAUGCAGUGUGCACAGUGUGUUGUUAAUAUGUCAACAUAGUUUUGAGUUUCUAUCUGACGUUAAUCAAGAAUAUUGAGCUAGUUUCUGUUGCUAAUAUUUUUAAAUAGGUCGUCUAAUAUUAGCUUGCAUGCAAAUUACUUGAAAUUUUACAAUUCUCAUGCAAAACAACAAUCAUGAUGGUCAUCAAGGAUGAUUAAUAUCCCUACUUUCUUAGAUUAAUUGAAAACUAUUUUUAGUUGUUUGAUACAAGGAUCGCCGAACCAGUACCAGUAGGCAUACCGGUCGGCCACCGGACCGGUUCGGUACUGGUUCAGGCCGGUACGAACCAGUACACUGGUUCGGUCUGGUUCAUGCAUCCAAAAGCCCAAAAAAAUUUGCAACCAGUAUGGACCGGUUUAGGCCGGUACACUUUGGCUGGUACGGGCCAGUACGGUUCGGGCUGGUAUGGGCCGGUACGGUUCGGCUAGUUUAGACCGGUACCGUUUUUUAACUUCGAGCUGGACCGGCCAGAGACCGAAAUGGUUCGGUACGGGCUGAACCGGCCCGUAAGCCGGUAUGGGCCGGUUCAUCAUUUCUUUAUUUGAUAUAUAUAUUUAUAUGCUAGUACUGGCAGUUAAAAUCUUAUCUACAUUAGAAAAUGACUGAAGUAGUCUAUCUUAGAUUGUUUCUCGUGAAUCUUGUUAUAGACUUGCAUAUCUCUCUAUGCAAGUGUGCGCCAAGUGUUUGUGUGGUACGAUGAAUGUGUGUGGUGUGCAGGGCAACUAAUACUCCGAUCUUUGUUUAACCACAAAUAGUUUAGAAACAUGUUAAAAAAAUUGACAAAUUCUAUGAAUUAAAAAGCAAGGAACAGUCCAAAAGAAUUCUGUGGAAUGUGGAUUAUACCUUUCUGAAAUUAGUCCCAUUUAUCUAAUGGCCUACAUUGAGGUGUUCACAGGUGCAAGUUUAUGAAGAUGCCAUCCUUUAUUAUUUGUAAGUGACUUUUGGAUAAAUGAGCCAAGAUCCGACUAAAGUUGGUUCUUGUUUCAUUAAUAUUUGAUUUAUCUUUUUGUAGAGUAAUAAAAGUUAUUCUUUUAUUUAGUGAAAAAUCCAAGGAGUUAAUAUUUGUGAUAGAAAAAAAAUAAAAGUAAAAAAUGAAAAUAAAUCAGAGUUUUAACUUUCAAGGAAUUACUGAAAUGAAAACUGAUUUGUUAGAUUUGAGUUUUGAUAUUGUUGAGGUGUUGGUGUUUCUUUAAUUAUGGUCGUUUAGAUUAGAAGCUUGGUGAUGUUGCUUAAGUUCAGUCCUGACAUUUCGUUUAUUCAAGAUGAUUCCUUCAUGGUUGAUAGUUUUUAUUGGAAAAAAGAGUGUAUCCCCUAAAUAUUAGAUAGGAAUAUUUUUGGAACUAAGAAAAUAGGAUGGCUAGGAUGUGAACUGUGCUUAUCCAAAUCUCGACCUUGCAGUGCUGUGCGAAACGAUGGUUUGCUGUAUUGGCCCGAUUUGGGUGGUACGAAGUGUACUAUACCGGUUUGGUACUGGUAUCCUAUACAGAUGGCAUACCGACACUCGGUAUGUCGAAAAGACUCCAUACCGUACUAUACCGACACAACACUAGUGUGGCACCGAUAUGGGGUCCGGUACCGAGAUGACGAAUCUUAUGCUAAACAAUGUAUGACUUCAAGGGUAUCAAGAAUGGGUCAAUCUGCUAUAAAGUAAGACCGUGGCUUAUCAUACUGUAUCGAGAGAAAAUUUGUACGAAACUUAACUUUAAGUCGUUAUAAACCCCGUACCGAGGCGUACUGCCCUAUAUCGACCUGUACCGAGGUGUACUGAGGUGCGUACUGAGGCAUAUCGAGAUAAAAAUUGGAAAAAAUGGUUGGAGAGCUAUCUUGGUACAGGACUGUAUCGUACCGUACUGAAUCGAUAAGUUACCGAAACGGUAUCUGGUACCGAGCUUGUGGACCUUGAGUAAGACAAUAAAAAAUGAUUUGGUAUUGAAAUUAGUAUUCUUUGUACAUCCAUGAUUAAUAUAUUGAGUACAUGUGUGCAUUAUUUGUAUUCAAGUCGAUAAGGAAUAAACUAUUAUUGAGGUAUGUUGCAUGCAGGAUUUGAAUCCUAUCUUGUUGGUGGGUGUGUGAGGGACUUACUCUUGAAGAGAACGCCAAAAGAUUUUGAUGUGAUUACCACUGCUAGUCUUGAACAGGUUUUCCAAGUCCUUGGCUUGUUUGGAGAUGCAUCAAGAGGUUUUGAUGUUAUAUGUUAAUUCUUUUUUUCUUUUAAAUUUGACUUGAACCAUUGCCUUUUCUCGCACAGAUUACAAAGCAAUUUCAUAAAUGUAGAAUUAUAGGGCGUCGUUUCCCAAUAUGCCAGGUUCAUAUCCUAGGCUCCAUUAUCGAGGUUUGUGCAUCUUCUGACAUUGUCAAACUUGAUUAUUUUUGUGUUUUAGAACCUAAUUUAGUUGCCAAUCGGAUUCUUUCUGUGCUAGGUUUCCAGCUUUGACACCAGACAGAAAAAUGUCAAAGAAAGAAGAGUACCCAAUAAUUGUGCUGAGAAAGACUUUAUUCGCUGGAAAAAUUGCAUGGAAAGAGAUUUUACAAUUAAUGGGUAAUUAUGUGUUGUGCUAUUAGUUUAUGUUGAAAAAGUGUUCCAUCCAAAUCUGUUUUACACACUAAUUUUCCUAAUUUAAGUCUGAAGGAUGGUUAUCUGAUAACCACAGUUUAGACUUUAGAGUUUGCUAUUGACAGGAAAAUUGAUUUGUUAUGAUGUCGAUAUUUUUCUUGACAGUUUAUUCUUUGACCCCAUUGACUGUACCAUCUAUGAUUAUGUUGGUGGAAUUAGGGAUUUAAGGACAUCUAAGGUGAUUCUUCAUUAUUUAUUUUAUUGUUAAUAAGCAUGUAACAGCUACAUUAAAUCUUUCAAAUUCAUUUUUUGGAAUAAGAUUGGUCUCUUGUUUUGUUUGUAUACUUGUAUGAAUAGGUGCGUACUGUAAUUCCAGCUCAUUUAUCAUUUAAAGAGGACUGUGGUAUGUUCUAGUCUUGUGUAAUUGAAAAAAUUUUCAUUCUUAUUAAUAUUCACAACUUAGAGAUAAGGGCUAAACUUAUUUUUAUUAGAAAAGCUGACAACUUUGAUCAAUGGCAGCAAGAAUUUUGCGUGGCUUGAGAAUUGUUGCUCGUCUUGGUUUGCGAUUUUCAAAGGAGACUGCAGAAGCUAUACAAGAUUAUUCUGCUUCCAUCAUAACACUUGACAAGGUACUUGAAGAAGGAUUAGUAAUUGGCCAAAGGAUACUCCUCUUAAGGGUCACCUUGUGCCGUUUCUUUAACACAUAUCAGCUUUCUUUCUUUAGACAAGGUUGCUGAUGGAAUUGAAUUUUAUGCUGGCAUAUGGGGCAGCUGAGUCCUCAAUUCAUUUACUUCAGAAGUUCAAACUUCUUGAAAUCUUGCUUCCCUUUCAUGUGAGUGGAAAUGCAGUUACAUCUAAAUUUACUCAGUGUUGUAAGUCCUCUAUAAAAUUUUCAGUUUUAUUAGAAAUUUGUUUGGGCUUCAGGCAGCAUAUCUGGCUGAUCAAACCAAGAAGCAAUCUAAUGAAAGCUCUGUUAUGCUGAUGGUAAGAUGCUGUGCCCUGGGAAAUAUAACCAAACUGAAUUAUGCAUGUCUAAAUUAUAUUUGUCUUGCCAUGAGUUGAAUGUUUCUGUUCUAAACUUGUAGAUCUUUUGGAUUAUAAUAUGAACUAUAGCAAUAAUGUGGUCUUUUGCCUUAUGUUAAUGUCUGACAGUCAAAAACAAUCUAUAAGCAGAUCAUAAGUUGACUUAUGCAUUAAAGCUCUUUGUUUACUGAAGAAAAGGAUUUGGUUCCUGUAGUUAUAGAAUUAUUAAGUAGGCAAACGAAGUGAGUUAUGUUUAUGGUUGUUGGCGCUUUAACUUAGGUCAUUUGAGUUUGUUGUCCAAGUAUGAUAAAAACUAGUGGAAUUGAACUAGUAUUGGUAAAUCCUUUAUUCUUGUUCUUCAAGGAUCUUUUGUCACAGGUGGUUGUGAACUAGGUGUAAAUCCUAACACCAGUAGAUGCAUUUCAUUCCUAGUCCAGUAGGAGUAAGACCCAAUCGACCUAUGCAUUUCUCUGAUAUACAAGUGGCUGUUCUACUUUGUGAAGCAGUAUAAUUCUCUAUAGAAACAAUGGGUAAUUCUUAAUGCUAAUUCUUUUUAUGUAUCUGCUGUUGCUAAUGCUAGAAUUUGUUAUAGGGAAAUUCUUAAACAAGAGUUCUUGAAUGUUUGCUGUACAUCCCUUGAAAACUCGCCUUGCUUUUUGGCAUUGAAAGCUUCUUCAAUUAUUUCUUCAAAUGUGGCAUGGGCGUUUUUUGUGAAAGAACUCAAUUGUUGUGGCUUAAACAAAUUUCCAUGGAGUGUUCGGUAAAUACAAGAAGAUUAGUGCCUAGACAGAGUGUAAUGACUAAUUCAAGUCCAAAAGUUGGAGCAAGGUUCGUUGUCUCGGUAUUAGACCCGGUACCGGCACCAACUUAGUACAAUAUCGGUAUGCUUGGUAUGGAGUCAGUUUGGUAUACGGAUACUCGAUAUGUUGCCCAUACCAUAUACUGGUUCGGAACUGGUACAAUAUAGUAUUCUCAGUAUGUAUCAAUAUUGACCGGUAUGAUGUACCAUAUUGGAGUAAAUUCUAGAGAUUGUUACUUUCAUUCCUGCAUUUUAAUUUAUUUGAUAUUCAAAUCUGCAAACCUCCCAUUGCAAAAGGGUAAUAUUUCUUUUGUUCUCUUUUGAUUUGAGAGCCCCUCACUUCACCCACCCGUUUACCCAUUUAAUUCAUCAUAGAGUGUUCUAUACUUUUAGAAUGCUUGAUGGCAACCUAAAACUUAAAAAAAUUAAGGAGAUAUUAAGAGCUAUUAAAUCUUUCUUUUUGGGAAAAUUGCAAGAUUUUCUUUUACAAUUUAAAACAUUUCGUGAUAGAUCCACAGCAUUUGGAUAUAGAGUGUCAAGACCACAAAUUUGAACUUGCUCGAAACCUAAGGUUUGUGGCCACCAUAGCCAAAUGAAUCUAACAUUAAAAUUUAAAUCAUCAUAAAAAAUAGCUUAUGAUUGAACAAAUCAUGAAGAACAUUUCAUUAUCAUAAAAUUCUACUUACAUAUUUCCUUACAAGCAGUGCUAUUCCUUCUGGAAUAUCAAGAAGAAAUGAAAUACUAUAUUUCCAGUUUUGUUUCAAUAUUCAGUCGAUCUGCAAAAGGCAACCUCCACUUAUCGAGUCUUCUUCUCUAAAAGGUCCACUUCCUCAUUAUUGAUGCUGAAAAGAUUAAUAAGUGUAGUGAAGCGCAGUAAGAAACUUUACCAUGGUCCAAAUAUUUUUGUAUUGAAAAUAAAUAUCUUUUUAUAUGAAACAUAUUAUCAAAUAUCACUUAAAGACUGAGUAUAAAUUCAUUUGAAUCAUUUUAUAAUAUAUCUGGAAAUCAAAGCAUUUGACAAGAAAUAAGAUACCAUUAAAGGCUCGGAACAUAGGUUUAGUAAGAGUUCAAUGGUCCAUGUAUAACCAUAAAUUGAACAAUUAUCCAAAAAUUGAGGUGAGAAAUCUAAAUCUCUAACAACUAAGAGAAUGUUAAAAAUGAUAAGAUCACAUUUGACAUUUUAUUCUGAAUUUUCACAUAUUUUGACAUUUUCUUACAAGGUUCACUUAUUGGAUUGACCUCGAGGCCACUCAUAACCUCGUUGCUUAUGCAAGCAAAGCACUUAUAUCCUCAUCUAAGAAUCGAAUGAGGCCACUUAUUAUCCUUUCUGCUGAUGCAAAUGAGGCCACUCGUUAUCUUUGAGGUCCACUCAUACCAAUUGGCCAAGUGUCCACAAGUCACUUAUUUAGUGGUUCCUUGUCAAUAUUGAGCGAGGCCACACAUAUACCAUCUGAUUGGGGUCCGGAAAUAUGCUCAUUAGUAAUCCAGAUUAGAUCAUGAUACUACAGAAGUGGAGGUUCCUCAUUGAUGAACCGAAUGAGGCCACUAAUAUGCCACCUAGCAAUGGACCCACUCAUCUUGGUGCUUAUUUCAUUUUUGAAAAUGCUCACAAGUAUCUGGUGAAACAUUUAUUAGAAAGUUUCGAAAGUAAACACAUGUAAUAAGAAGUUCUAGUGAGUAGAGAAUAUGAAGUCAAACAUGAGACUGACAACAUCAAUUAGAGGACUCAUGAAAUUUCAUAGUUUCAAAUAGAUACUACAACAUGAUUUCAUUAGUGUGGGACUACAACACAAGUCAAAAUCAUCAUAAUACGAAACAUCUUUAGAAAUCAAAUCUAUGGCAGAGUCAAAAAUUCAAGAAAAUGCUAGGUUUCAAAAAGCGACUCGUGGUUUAUGUUAUCAAAGCAAUACUUUAGUUAAAAAGGUUUUCACGAAUUGAUUCUCAAAAUUCAGAUUUAAAAUCCUACUUAGACUCUUAGGAUUCAAAGAAUUUCAAAACCCUUCAUAAGCUUAAAACUGAUUAUGAUUCAAAAACACAUCAAAUUCAAACUUAAACAAAGUCUUGAAGUUACUUGCAAGGGAAACUAUAGAUUGUGGGAAAGACCAUGCAACUUAGAAUUUAAUGAUACACAAGCUUAAAACUAACUAAGAGAUCCAAAAGAAACACUAAUCAAAUAAAAACUUAAAUGAAAAGACAUGGAGGAUGUUACUUAUAGAUUAACAUUGAUAGAAGCCCAAAUUCCUUCCUCCUCCUCCUCCUCCUGCUCUUCUUCUCCUUCCUUUGCUUUUUCUUUUUACUUAGCUAGUCACCCUUGCAUAAGACAGGUUGGCUGAGCAAGUGGGACCCAAGAGGUGACUCACCUACUUAGGUCGGUUGCCUAAGUGGGUUGGUUCCCUUGGUCACAAUGGGAUGUCGGUUGAUGACUUAGCAGGCUAAAUACCAACAAGGCCCUUAAAAAUAACAUUACUUUAAAUCUUCUUCAUUUUUUUUCAUUUCUGUUUCUAUUUACUUAAGAUAUUACAUGUAAAUAAGGAAGUAUCCCCAUUUGAGUUCAAUAAAAAUACUCAAAAUAUUGAAUUCCUUAGGAAUUAAAAGUUGGUUUUUUAGCUUUAGUUCAAUCUUUAGAUUUUUAUCAUAACGUCAAAUAUGCAAUUUUAAAAUGCUAAGUUGUUUCUUAAAUCUAAAGAUCCCAUAAAUUCUAUUAUGCCAAACAUAGCUAAAAUCCAAAAGUUCCCUAGCAAAUGUCUUAUGGAUUAUUCACGAAAGCAUAUCACAUAUUUCAAUACUACUUAGCACUUAACAUAUUGACAGAAGGUUCAUAUUUUAAUCUUACACACAUCCGUAUGUAUUUAUCCAUGUACAUGAUGGCUAUUACACAAGAUUAUGAGACCUUCUAGAUAGGAGAUAUGAGAUCAAAUCACAUAAAUCUGACAUCAAAUCUUUGGGUUCGUUAUUGUGAGGCUCAAUUUAUUCUGCAAACCCCACAUGACCUCAUCUUUUUCCCUCAACAAUUUCUUAAAACUACAAAGAAUAUCUUAAUCCUUUACAGAUAUUCUCUUUUCUUGAAUAUCCUGCAACCAAUCACCCAAUUGUAUUUUUUUCCUUAAAGGUUUCAAAAUUUGACUUUAACGUGGGCAAAAUACUUUCUAGAAUUUAAAUAAAUAAAUUAAUGACUAAUGAUAAAACCAGUUGCCUUAUGUACAUUAAAUAUUAUAUCAUAGGUCAUUUCAUCCAAGACUUUAGAACUAGCCUUUGUUGUUAAUUGGUUGCAAAAGAAACCAAAAAUUCUUUCUUGGUUUCGGAGUUCUAACUGAAACUCAAAAUCAUCUUCCGAUCUCUUUUGAUGUUUGAUACAUCUAAGUCUUUGUUCAAGCAGGUUGCAAAAUCCAAUACCAUGGGGCCCAACUCAAAUUUUAGUAAAUUUGACCCUUCUUAAAAAGACCGUGGUAUGGAUUUUUUUUUUGAAAAUUUUGGUAAUGUUUUCAAAUUUUAGUGGUUAUUUGUAGUGAAUGAUUGAAUUGUUUUCUUACUUUCAAAUUUAUGGUCUAAGCAUAGUUUUUCUUUUGUGCCCCUCCUAGAAUUUUCUCUGCUUGACUACAUAUGUUAAAUAUCUGUUACAAAUUUUAGGUCUAUUCAACAUGUGAAAUUGAUAUCUUGGAGCUCUUGCACACCAAAUGUUUUUGUCACGACCUAGUGUCAGGCUUUGCCAAGUUUUGAGUGUGACGAUGAUCAUGGUGAACCAAUUGCCUGAAUUCAAUUUAAUUAAUUUUUGUGGAAGCCUGUAAUUCUCAAUAUAAUGAGUCAUGAAGUCCUAAAGGCUAUGGGAUCAUAUAUAGCAACUUAAGCGUCAUUCCAAUUUAAAUAUUAUCCGCCCCCCAAUCCUGAAAUUAAAACAAGGUUUGAUUCUUUCCAUGAUCUUAUAAUAUGCCAGAUAGUUCAUUAUAAAGACGAAUAGCUGGUACCAUGAUCUCUACACCCUUGGACAUGAUGGAUUCAUUCAUUGGGCUUGUCAAUUAAAUUUUAUUUAAUUUUGUUUCAUGUUUAUUUUUCUUGAUAUUUUCUUUGGCAUAUAUCUGAUGAACUAUAUCUAGCUUGUCAUGAAAAAAGUUCUCCUCCCUCUCUCCUAUAUACAUACAGGCAACACACACAAAAUACAUACAUACAUACACACACACACACACACACACACAAUAAAACUCCAUUACCAAAACCACAAGACAUGUAUGUUAUAUAUAUAUAUAUAUAUAUAUAUAUUNNNNNNNNNNNNNNNNNNNNGUUAUAUAUAUAUAUAUAUAUAUAUAUAUUUGUCAAAUCUCUCUAAUGCUAUGGAUUUUGUGUUCUACAGAAAUUAUUCUCCAAUGUUGAUAAAUUACUUGCUGCUGACCGCCCAUCGAAUUACUAUUUAUGGUGAGAAACUUUUCACUUAAUGAUUAUGUGACAUUGAAUGUAUAUAUGAACAAACUUUUUUUUAUGCAUUGGUUGGUUUGUCCCUAGUGGGGGCGGGGGGCGGAGGAUGGAAUCAGAAACUAGAAUGGAUAGAAUGGAUAAAGUUCAUGACAAUUCUAUUUUUAUGUUUGGUUGUUGCUCCAAUUAUUUUAUCUUUAGUUACCAUAACAACAACUAUGCAACCACCAUGGUUAUUCUAAUUGUGGGUCCUAUUAUCUAGAAGUUUUUAGAAAAGGUGGAUUUCCAUGAGAAUCCAAAAAAGCAGAAUCACCUGGACUCUUGUGUCCAUCUUGAAGAAUCUAUAUGAAAUACAUAUUGGCGGGUUAGAUAUGCAUUGGACACUGUUGAUCCUUGGCAAAUCUUCUAACUGCAGAUUCUAAAGAUUGUCAGAAUUCGAUUUUCGGAAUACCUAUGAUCACUUCACAGUAUAUAUGGAAGCAUCACAGAGUUACUAGCUUACUCCUUUCCAAUCUUACAUGUUGAAGAAGUUGCCAUUUUAUAAUGUUUGAGACUGAACAACAUGGGACUAUUUUCUUCCUAUUUAUCUCUGUUAUCCUUUUUUAUUAACACUUGCCAAAUCAAACUCUUUGUUAUACAACCAAUCCAGUAACUGGUUUUGCGUCCAUGCAACGCUGGGAGAGAGGCUGAUCUUAUUUUGAAUUUAUUAUUUCUUUUGGAGUCUUUUCCCCUCGAAAAUUCAAUAACUCCGUUUAUUCCUCUUAACAUUUUUGGGUGUUAUUUUUUUUUUUUGGAGCAGCAUCUUCUUUUUAUGUAGUAUCACAUUCAUGAUAGAAGAUUCAUGUAUGGCAAAAAUGGAGGCUGAGAUCAAUGCUUUCUAUGGGUUUGUUGGAACAAAGUUGAUUAUCCAUUAUCACUAAGAUUUCUCAAGAUAUUUCAGCCAUUUAUUUCAAAUAUGAACAUCUCUUAGCAACCACUCAUAAAUAUGGGCAAGUUUUGAGUUUUUAAUCCUGAUGAUUUGGAUUUUCACAUCAUUCCUUACAACAGUAAUCAAGAGAAAUUAAUCGAUACUCAAGUUUCAUGUCUUUGCAUUCUGAGGUCUGAGGGUGGUGAUUUGACAGCUCAGGUCUGCUAAAUACUAAAAGAUAAGUUACUGUAGUGUCCUUUCUCUUUGAAAAUAAGACUUAUUUGAUGGCAAUAAUGGCUGGGAAACAUAAUUGGCCUAUGCCUUGGGUAGACUUGACUAAGGCUUUAUGUUUAAUGUUCAAUGGACUAGCCAAACAUGGGAAAAUUGCCGCAAGCUUUACCAUUGUUGACGAUCAAAAUUUGACUGUAAUGUAACAAAGAAUAAGUAGAUUUGUUGAAAUUUGAUUGGAUAUAUUAGUGGACCUUAAUAAGUUAUGUCUCUAACAAGGAAUAGUAGAUUUGUUGAAAUUUGAUUGGAUAUAGUAGUGGACCUUAUAAGUUAUGUCUCUUAAUUAGUUAUUAUAUGAGAUUGAAUUGUAACUGACCAAUAACUAAUUGAGGACAUUAUGGCCAAUCUGUAAUCAUGAGGGGAAAGCACUGAAUAUUAAAAUAAGAUUGACUGAAGUGGCUGUAUCAAAUCGUUAUCUUAUCCCUUGUCUUUGACUUUUCAUCUUCUGGAUUUCUCUUUUCACAUAUUCUCACUUCUCUCUUCCUUACUCUUCCUUUCCAUUCUUGGGUAGAUAGAAUGGUAAUAGCGAUGAUCUAAUGAGAUAGAUCGCCUCCAAUUGCUUGACCCUUGUGAAGUUGGUCACGAAGGAGAAACUCUUUGAUGUACUUCAGGCUUGUUAUUAUUGUAUGUGGGAUCCAUGUGAGCACCAAAAAUGCUUUUUCCCAACUUAUGAUUAUUAUUAUAUGAACAUGGGUUGUUGUUGAAGUUCAAAGUCUGAAAUUAGUUUAUCUAUCCAAAUUGAUGUUUUAAGGCUAUUGGAUGCUGUGCGGUGAAGGCAAGCCUGAAGUUACUUUCUUCCAUUUUAGGGCUUGUUUGGAUGAUUGGGCUGAAAAUUCUAUUAGAUUUGUGGAUUGGGCCAGUACAACUAGUAACAUUAUAGGAUUACAGGCUGGGAUAGGCCUAUAUUCAUGAGUACCCAGGAAUAGCUAUGGAGUGGGCUGGUCCGAAUCCCAUAGGGAGAGAAAAAAAGACCUUAGCAGGUAAUCCUAUGGGAUCUAGGCUGGCGCACUCCAAAGCUAUUCCUAGCUACUUGAAUAUAGGCAUAGCCUAGAUUGCAAUUCUGUGAUUUUGCUGGUUGUAUUGGCCCAAUCUACAAAUCCAAUAGAAUUUUCAACCCAAUCAUCCAAAUAGGUCCUUAUAGUUGCAUGACUAUUUUGUUUAUUUAAGUCAACACAAUUAAGGUCUCGUUUCAUUUAAUUUUUUCUCUUUGCUUUAAUAGUAUUUCAUUUUCCGUCAUAUUUUUAGUACCCUUUGUUUCUUGUAUGUACCACUAUUUUCUUUAUUUUCAGUUUGCUUGUUCGAGACUUUGCCGAGCACAUUUUCCUUGUCUGUUAAAUCUAACUGAAAGUUCUCUUGUAUUUUAGGACAAUAUACAAAAUGCAGGUUUCAUUUUGCUUGGUGAGAAAAGCUAGCUAAAUUGAAACUGUUCAUAAAACUUAACCUUUAUCAUGUUCUUGGUAUGGUCAUGGAAUCCUUUUAUAGAUUAGUACGACAAUGCUUACAGUUAGGUGUUGAUAUGCAGUUGGAUUUUUCAUAUUGCCAGCACUUAUGAUUUAUUGCUUCAUGAUCUUUCAUUGAUGAAUCACACAUUGGAAUCAGGCUAGGAUUGUUGGCAUUUCACCUGGCAUUAGUAGAACAUCCUCAAGAUGCUUUAGUAGUUUGGACACUCUCCUCUAUCUUGUACCAUGGAAUGUGGAGUAAAGCCAUGGAGUUUGCAAGACAAAAUGUUAAAGGUCAUGGUCAGUUUGUUCCCGAAAUUUUAGAACCUUCUGAAUCUAAAUCAGAUGAGCUACUCCUGGAAGAAACCUGUCAUCUAGCAUCAUUGGUUAAAUCUUCUGUAGAUGCUUUAACCAGAAUAGAUGUUCUUCAGCAAUCAUUGACCAGAUACCCAGAGUCUUUGCCAUGUUUGGGACUGGUAAGUAUAGAUCAUCAUGCUGCUCUAUGUUCUUUUGAAAAAUCUUGUCCAUAUGAGUUUUGUUUCUGAAUGCACUAAUGUUAUCUGUCCAUAUGCAUUCAGGUAGUUUCUAUGUCAUUGUGUUUAUCUAUAAAUAUAUAUUAAUUUGGUGUGAUCCUUCAUAACAUGCACUCUCUAUUGGGUGAUGAUGGUAAUUUAUAAUUUUAUCCUUUUGCAUCCUACAUCCUGUUAAAUAUAUUAUUGUCCUGUAGCACAUCGCUGGUAUAUUCUAUAGUUGUUUAAAGAACUGGGAAUUCAUCAUCUUCUUUUUUAAACAUUCUGCUUUGGUUGGGAUACAUACACACCCACUAGUUGUACUGUACAUGCUUAUGCACGUUGAUCCAAUAAAAGUACUGAUUAAUGAAGUAGCAACAUUAAAAUAGAGAAUGCAAAUAAAACAUAAAGAACAAAAGGAAUACUUAUUUUAUAUAGUUGCUAAAACAUAACAGAAUAGCGAACACAGUGACAUAGCAUUCGAGACUGAAAACGAUGAAAUUUCCAUUCUCAACUUCUCAUAUUCUAACUCAAAUACUAUAUUUGAAUAAAGAUAGAUUUUCUGCAAAUUAAUUUGGAUGUUAUAACCCUCUAGUAAUGAUUAGCUGUUGAUACAUCAGGACAUUUGUAGGUGAUUUCUUUUGCAGUAUUGUAGUAAGUGAAUCUUCAAUGGAGUCAUUGCUAUGAACAUUCCCUCGGUCACCCUGUUGGUUCAUCAAGCCGCACUGCAUGAGGGUAUUGGUGCUUUCUCAGGGGUUGGUGACAUGAUGGGAUGGUUGAAUCAUGAUGCAUGGCAAUUUGGCAUGAGUAACUCACAUGGUGAUUGAGCAGGGAUUUUUAUUGUUUGUCAUUCAGUCAAAAGAAUUGAACCUAUUUGAUGCAUGAUCAGAAGAUGGGUAAUGCUUCAACAUGCACUAACAGAUGUUGCAUAAUUACUAAGAAAUUUCUUUGAAAUCCUUUCUUAUUAUUUGUUUUACACAUAUAAGGAGAGAGAAAAAGGGGUUGAGAGCGAAUCUUUAAUUGUAUUUGGGUUUUAGAGUCCACCAGCUUGCUAAAAAUGAGAAUAUUCUGCAAGGCAGUAGUUAUUUGCAUAAGGGUAGAGUCCACUGGAUUGCUAAAAGUAAGAAAUUCUGCAAGAGAUUAGUUUUUUGCAGAGUUUAGGUGUGUAGUCAGGAGGGAAGAUGCUUGCAUAUGGAUGAGUGAUAUAAUGUUGAUUGGACCCAAGAGCCUAGGCCCUAGAGAUUUAUGUUGGGCUUCCUCUUAUGUGCUGACUUUAGUGGGUCUUCUUAAACCUAUCCUCACUGGCUUAGAUAAAUUCUGGUAGAAUAUAUUUAAGGGUUAAUUGAUUGUUGCCUAGGAUGUAUUCAGUUGGAUUCUGGAUCUGCCUAAGGAGUGCAUUAGAUUUCAGGAAAGAGAGAUGUUAUAUGUGGCCUCCCUUGUGACUCCUAAAAAAUAAAUCCCAGUUAGGGUUCAGGCAUAUGACAACAACUUGGCAAGGUGCGAACUUUUGUAAUAUUAGAGAAGGAUGUGAAGACAAAUAAGGAAAGGAACACUUAUCCGUAUCGUGGCAUUAGGUCUCUGGGUAAUAGAAGGAAGAUUUGGUGAUUUUGUGAGGCAUAGAUCAUUGGAUCCCAAAGCUAUAGGCUUAGCUAUGUGAUUUUUUUUAGGAAACCACGAGCAUGAAACCAGCAUGGUGCAUAGGAUGGUACAGAAGAGUAAAAAAGGGAACAAUGUAGGAAGUACUGUGUCAUGGGAACCCAGGAAUUAGAAUGGUGUAAUUCUAGGAAACAGAAAAUUAUAAUAAAUAUUAUAAAUGAAUAUGUAAGAAAAGCUAAACUCCUUUUUGGUAAUCAUCUCUCUAACCCCGGCACCCCCUAACCGCAACCAACUGCACAUGCACAAACUCCUUUUUGGUAAUCAGACCGAUAUUCCAUUAUUUCUUGAAUGCUGUGUGUGUUGAACUAAUAGGAAUCAGCAUUUAGCCAACUGAGCACUUUGAACUUCUUGGAUUUCAGGUAUUUGUCUCUGAGAAAAUGGGAAAGAGUGUAGCCGAACUCUUCGAUGUCCUUGGAAAUGAUAUAACAUCCCAUGACAAGAAGAGAGAGACACGUGACAUUAAUUAUGAGCUGCUAAAGAGAGGGGAUCUAGGUGAAACCAGAUUUGUGCUUGGAAAAGUAAUCAUGGAUACAAUGAAUUGUCAGCUUACUCUUUUACAAAGUCAGAAUGUGGCUCCUGCAAAAAAAAGCUAUGUUCCGUUGUCUUCUUUGUUCAGGUAAUUUAUCCUUAAAAACUACCAGAAAAGAAUUUGAUACCUCUUUUUGUUUGAAUGUAUGAGAUUGAUUCCAUCAAGCUGCUCUUCAAUUUUCCAAUUGUUGCAGCUGAGGCACUUUAUGGAGUUUACGUUGAUCACCCUACUGAUUGAUUGUCAUGGAGCUUCGUGGCUAGGUCAGGCAGUUGAUUUUGUAUCGAGCAGCCUCUCGUAUUAAGGGCAUAAAAUUUCCUUAUUUUUUAGAAAUCAAUUUUCAUUUGUGUACAUUGUGUGUAUCUCAUUAUCAACAUUGAUGUACAUUGUAUGCCGCAUGGUGUACUGACUUCGAGCCCACUUUAAUCUCAAGUCAGUAAUCAUCAUUUUUUAUUUUCUUUUUUUAACAGUCUCUAGAUCAUAUAAUCUUUUUAUUCGUAGAUAUUUUAGAACUUGUUGAUGACAUACUAUGGUUUAGAUUUUGAUCUUGCAACUCUAAAGAUCGAUUGUGACAAUGGGUGUGAAGUCCUUUUUCUUACCAAUGAGAAUGCAAAUAUGCUUGACCUCUUGGUGAAGGUGUCAAGUUGACCCAAAACUAAAGCAUUAUAUCUAUCACACCUCUGACCUGAGAUCAGAAAUUGGCUGACAUGGCAACCACCACAUACUUAAAAAGGUAUUAUCCCACAAGAAUGUAAGGUGUCCAUCAUGAUAUCAUAAUAGAAUAAAUAAGGUAACAAAACAAAAUCAGAGUAACUAAAAGUCAAAUUUAAUAAUUAACAAGUCCGAAACUAAUAAGAAACAUUAAUAAUUUUGUUUAUAAUAUUCUACCAACAAUUAUUCUCUAAAUAUUAAAUCAAAGAAAAAAAUCUAUAAAAAUACUUUCAAUAUUUAUUCUCUAGGCUAUGUUAAUCAUUCAUCUCUAGCGUCUAUCAUAACAGUGCCUUGUUAGUGGCUAGUUCUUUGGAUCCAUACAGAAAGAAGAGAUCCAAUAAUGAACUUAACAUUUCCAGAAGUAAUGAAUAUCUUAAUUAGAUAAUUUAAGUAUUAGAUUAAAUAAGUUUUCUUGCUAGUACUAACCAUACAAGCAAGAUCAUUAUGCUUUAAUACAACAAAUAUAGAAUGCCCAAAUUGUUCAAAUAUUCAUUUUUAUUAUUCAUAAGAAUAAUUUGAAAUAUUAUAUUCCAACUCAACAAUUUUUUAAAAAAGAGCAAUUUAAAAUAUCAUAUUUUAGCUCAACAAUCUUUUAGACUAUAAUCAUACUUAUAUUUUGUUGCCAGGCUAGAUUAUACCUAUAACUUGUGAUGUAGGUAAGAAUAUCACACUUAUACCUAUAGUGGUCCAGAUUACUCACUUAUAACUUAUGAAGUAAGUUAGAAUAUCACACUUAUAUCUCACGAGGUGGGUAACAUUACCGCAUUUAACCUUGUAGUAAGAGAAUAAUGAGUUCAGGAAUAAUCAAAGUGCUAAUGCAUCACCUUGAAUUAGUAGGAUCUAAAAUAUAGUGAAGCUGAGAGUCCAAAUUUAGACAAAUCAAAAGUAUUCAUAAAUCUUAUAUAUGUCAAAUUUAAAACAAGUAUGCAUUUUCAACAAAAGAUUUAUAAAUAUAUGCAUAAUGUUUGGUAUUGAGAUAACAUAUUAUAUUUAUAAUUUUAUUUUUCUUUUAAAACCCAAGUUCAUAAAUUUAUGAAUUGCAUGUUAAUAAAAUUAUAAUUUACUCGAUAUCAAUAUUUGUUUUGAAUCUACUUAUCUUGUGAGAAUAUUUAGUAGAUGAAUCUGACUUAUGCUUUACUUACUCUUUGUUCACUGUCACUUCUCCAUCAUCCUCUCUUUUCUCUUUUCUUCUCAUCCUUGGUUCAUUGGAUGAAGGUUAAUACGAAGAACUCCCUCCCCUUCUCUCUCUAUCUCUCAACCCCUCCUCUUUUUUUCAAUCUCUUUGCCCCUCGUAUCUCUCUUUCCCUCUAUUUGAAACCUUUGGCUAUCGAUUGACGCAUUUCGAUUAUGCUUCUCUCAAUGUCUUUAUCUUUCUUAAUGUUUCUUUUUUAUAUUAACCAUCUCUCUCUCUCUCUCUUUUUUGUUACCUUGAGCUAUGGUUAAUUAAUUAUUGGAUCUUUCUUUUUCUAUAUUACUCUCUAUUGCCUUGUAAGGAGAAACCUAAGCAGGUUAGUCAUAAAGUAACCACAUAUAUUUCAGCAUUAAGUAGUCAAAAAGAGAAACUACACUUCUAAAUAUUAUUCGCAAGCAUAUAAAUAAAAAACAAUAGUUUUUGUAAAGUAUAGGCGAUGCUAGACAGAACAUCGGCAAAUUACAUGUAAGAAGCUUAUCGACAACCUAUUAUUGAUUAUUUGCAAGUUAUUUUAAUUUUAAUAUGAAAUUGUAAGAAGCAUAAAGUUUAAAACACAUGAAUCCACUUGUAGUGGAUUAAGUUACCAAAUGCGUGCCCCAAAGUAUUUUCCAUUUAUCAUUAAUAAUAGAGUUUUGGAAUCGCAUGACUAAACUAAAGUGGUCCAAACAUGCUUAUGCCUUCAAUGCCCAUAAACUCCUUGUGCCAUUGGGCAUAAAUGCAGACAGUGGCGGUACAAAACGCACUCUCAAUGCCGAAUCCAGCCAAUAAUGCCCUCAGUCACGCGUAGAAUAGGCCAAAAAAUAAUAAUAAUAACAGCAGCGGUCGGGCGCCCCUUCGGUCCCAAAGUCCAGCGGGCCCUCGCUGGCGUUCCUUUUCCGAGUCCCCAUUCAGGUCCUCAGAGAUUUUCUCUUACGAGCGUUUCGCGGUGGGCCCACCAAUGAGUGCUACAUCCCGUGGGGUCCACAUGCCGCUGACCAGACUUCGAAUCGCGACCGUUGAAUCAGAAGGAUAUGGAAUUAGGAAGACAUACGGCGACUUGCCACGUAGCAGUCCGCAGAGUCGUGACUCCUCGAAGAGCAGUAAAUUAAAAAAAAAAAAAAGGGUGGGCCCCACGAAGCAACGAGCAAUCGAACGCGCAUGGGAGAUAACCGUUAGAACCACGCGGACCGAUCUGACCGGGAUCUAACGGCCAGGAUUAACUAGCCGUUGUUUUUAAACGGAGGAGAAAGAGGAAAGAGAGUAUCUAAGGACAUAUAUCCGCCCUCCUCGUACUUUCUCUCUCUCUCUCUCUCUCCCCCCUUCAAAAAUUGCUCAUUUUUCUGUCCUUUUUCCGCUCUCUCUUUUCGGGAUUCGAGAGAGAGGGUGUGAGCGGCGAUAAAUCCCCUCCAAGCCCCAGUCGAUGGAGUUCCGGCUGUAGCUCGAUUCCUCUCCUUCUUGGGAUCGGAAUUUCGAGUUGCAGAUCGCACCAGAUCGAGUGGAGUGAGACGACUCGUCGAGGUUCUGAUCAAUUUCUUCUUCUAACUUUCUUGGAUCUUUGUUUUUAAUUGCUUCGUUGGUAUUGGUUUGAUUAGAUCUAUCUUUCAUCUUUUGAAAAUUUUCUGGUUUUGGUUUGAAUAAAGAUCAGAGUUUCGGCGUUCUUUUCUGUGUGAAACUUUUGAAAAAAUCUAUCUUUUAUCUGAUUUCUAUUACAAUUGUAUCUGUUGCUGUUCUAGAGUACUGAGAAUGGAUACAGUUGAUGAGAAUCAUCUGGGCAUGACCAAACCUGCUAAUUUCCAAGGUAUUGUCGGAUAUAUUUAGAGAUUUGUGGUUUCUUUUGUGUGAUCAGUGCGAGAAUUUGAUCAUGAAGUCCGAAAUCUUAGCUCUCAAGCACUAUUUUUCACUUAUUUUCCUUUGUUUCUCCUUUGCUUGCAGACAUGGGAAAUCGUCGAGCAUUGAGGGAUAUCAGGAAUUUGGUUGGCGCUCCCCCGUAUCCUUGUCAAGUCGGCAAGAGGGGAUUGACAGAGUAAUACAUGAAACCUUAAACUCUCCUUGGAUUAAUUGUUGGAGAGUGCACUAAUUUCUAUUUUUAAUUUCUAGAUUUCUGACGUCUUCCAGCAAGAACAGAAUAGAUGAUAAGAAUUUAACCUUUGAGGGCCGACGGCCAAUCACUAGGUUACUUAAAAACUGUCUCCUUUUUUUUUCUUCUCUUUGUACGGGUCUCUGUUUGCUUAACAUUUGUUGAUGGAUUGUGUUUUCAGGAAAUUUUCUGCUUCCCUGGCAAACAAAUCACAGCUUUAUCAUCAGGUAGUUCUACAUUAAAAGAAAAGGAAACCUGUGGUUCAUCAUUUAUUAAGUUCGAAGGCAUGUUAGAUUUCUUUGUUGAUUCAUUUAAUUCUCUAUAGGAAACUGGCGGUCGGCAUGAGCUUGUAGGGAUUGACAGACAGAAAAAACCAGCCCCAUCCGUCCUUAGUUUGAAUAGUUUGGGUACUUGUACUGCUGCCAGAGAUGUGGAUGACCAUAAGUCAGUCAAUGAGCUGCCAUUGCCUAUGGUUGUGGAAACAGAAGAAAUGGUUUGAAUUAAUCUGAUAUUCUUUAUGAGAAGAUUUUGAACUAUUUUAGGCAUGGGUAUUGUUACUUUGAUUUUGAUUAAUUGUACAGGAUAACUCUGAUCUCAAGGAGGUUGAAAUGGAGGAUCUUGUAUUAAUUCCAGAUAUCGACAGCUGCGACUCUAAGAAUCCACUUGCGGUUGUGGAUUAUGUGGAAGACAUAUAUAACUUCUACAGACAAACUGAGGUGAAUUUUGACUUCUUAGUAUUAAGAAAGGGAUUAAUUAACUUGGUUUGUUGCAAUAACCUUAUUCUACUAAUCUUCUGAAAUAUAUCAUUUUUUAUGUAAAAUGAGUUGAAUGGUUAAAGCUUUGCUUGAAUAGUAUUUUUCGUUUGCAAUACGAAUGCUGUUUAAAUAAUAUGUCUGCAUGCUUAUGCAGAUUGCAGGAUGCGUCAACCCUAAUUACAUGUCAAACCAGUUUGACAUCAAUGAAAAGAUGCGAGCUAUCCUCAUUGACUGGCUGAUAGAGGUAGACAAGGAGAACCUUACUAUAACUUAAAUUAUCCGAAACCAUGGCUUCAUUUUUCUCUCGAGUUUUAGAAAUUCCUAACACUUUUUAUGAAUUUUUCUGCAGGUGCACUACAAAUUUGAGCUAAUGAAUCAGACGCUCUUUCUCACGGUAAACAUUAUAGACAGAUUCUUAGCAAAGCAGACAGUAAAUAGGAAGAAGCUUCAGUUGGUUGGCGUCACAGCCAUGCUUCUUGCUUGUAAGUAUGAGGAAGUCUCAGUUCCAGUUGUGGAAGAUCUGAUCCUAAUUUCUGAUCGAGCUUACACGAGGGAAGAAGUUCUUCAAAUGGUAAUCUCAAUAAUGGUGUACAUGCUCUUUAAUUUUAUUUUCUACACUCUUUAUCCACAUAACUACCACUUGCCAAUAUAGGCUGAUGUUGACUGAAGCCUUGCAACUGAUCCGUUAAUUUUCUCAGAAGUCCAAUUUAUGACUCUGCACUGAUCAGUAAAUCACUUUGUCUAUUAUUUGUGGAUCAUGUCAUAACUAUUAGGAAGUGCUCCCUUCCCUCCCCUAGGCCAGCUAUAAACAAUAUUCACGAGCCUUAUGCACGAUAACAACCAACAACUCAAUGGAAGUAGCAAAACCAAGCAACUAAGAGUAGAAACAUAUAGAAUUUACAUGGAAACCCCUUCAAAGAAGGAAAAAUAAACAACAGGGCACCAAUCAGGAAUCCACUAAUCAAUGAAAUGAAGAGUGCAACAGGUCCACAACAACAAGAAAAUUCCAAGAAUGCAAGAAAACCUCUACAAUAAAAUGCAUCAACAAGCUUCCAACUUACAAGAAAACCUCUUUGAAGCUUCCACACCUUCAAAGAGAGAAACCCUAACUUUCAGGAAGCAUUAAACACCCUUGUAUCUUGAACCUCAAUCCGAGAAGAACCUUGUAUGAGACCUUUGUUGUGUGUAGAAAUCAAAAACCACCACCUCUUUCCUCUUCUUCCUUGUAUUUUUUCUUGCAUUGUGUAGGCUACCGCUUAAAAAUAUAUAUGCCUUGUUAGUAUGAUGUAGACCACUCCAUAUGAAGCUAGCUCAAAACACUAGUAGUAAGCCCAACAAUAACAAAUGCCAGACUUGUCACUAUGGUGCGAUUUAUCAUGCUUAUAAUCACUUUUUCUUAUUCCUUUCCUUUUGUGUUGUGAUAUAUGAUAUCUACUUCAUGCUAACUGAUGCAAGCAGGAAAGUUUGAUGGUCGACACCUUGCAGUUCAACAUGUCUGUACCAACUCCUUAUGUUUUUAUGCGAAGGUUUCUUAAAGCAGCUCAGUCUGAUAAGCAGGUUUGGUUUGUUUAUUCAUCACAUUAGAAGUUCUAUUGAUUUCUUGACUGGCAUUGUUCUGAUGGAAAUAUACUUAUCCAUGCAAUGAUUUAGCUGGAAUUCCUUUCCUUUUUCAUCAUUGAGCUCGGUCUAGUUGAGUACCAAAUGCUCAAGUUCCGCCCUUCGUUGCUAGCUGCUGCUGCGGUCUUCACUGCUCAUUGUACUCUUAAAGGGUUCAAGCAUUGGUCUAGGACUAGUGAGCUACAUACUAGCUAUUCAGAAGAUCAGCUUCUGUGAGUUCUGAUUCUUUUCCCCUCUUUAAACAUUUUGCAACUAAUAGUAUUUCCAGUCAGGGUCUGAUUUUGUUUCCAAAAUUUUGGCAUUAAAAUUUCCAGUUUUUGCUGUUCUCUGUUGUAGUGAGUGCUCUAGGUUAAUGGUGGAUUUCCACCAGAAGGCUGGAAAUGGAAAGCUCACUGGGGUACACAGAAAAUAUAGUACUUUCAAGUUUGGAUAUGCUGCAAAAGCUGAACCAGCACUCUUUCUGUUGGACUCGAGAUCAUAGUAUCAGCUUGCAGGGUUACUUGAUGAUGCAUUUCUUAACUUUCUGUCAAAAAAAUGGUGCAACAGAAGUUGCAGAAGCUGGGGAAAUUAGGUUCUUCUAAUGGUUACUGGACAAUGAUCUUACUUGACAACUCUAUCAGGUUUUUCAAAUUUAAUGUUCAAAUUUGUAAAAAUGCCGCUGCCAAAUGGAAAAUAAUAGAUUAAUUGGCUUCUGCAUCCAUGUCUUGGUUUCUAGUUUCGUUUUUUGUUUAAGAUGCCAUCAACAUUUUAGGUUAACUCACUGGUUAGAAUUUUCAUCAGUCCACUUGUUUCCAAUUAGAUGAAAAUGGUUUCAAAUUCUACAUAUGUAAAUGUUAAUUUACGAAACAAGUGUCUUGCACAUUGCUGGUGGAAGGAUCCAUAUAAGGUGUUGGAUACUGUGCCAUGAAUCAAUGGAUAUUUUGCAUAAAUGAUAUAAUGUAGUAGAUUGUUCUUUAACAAAUUGACGUAGAUUUAUAGCAUAUAUGUCCCUUUUUUUUUGGUACAACGGCGGCUCACAUACUACGGAUGUGAAUGCGGGCCAACAAAAUUAGAAAACAAAAGACUACAUAAAGAUUUUAGCAUAGACCUAUUGUUUACCCCGACGAAACCACUAGAGUGGUGAGCCGCAGAGGAAGCCACCCAGUCAGCAAACCCAUUUGCCUCCCUGUAGACGUGUGAGGCUUGGUGGGAGUCGCACUCUCCUAGCAAUCUGCUGUGCAUCCUCGACCCCAGAUUCACUCAACCACCAUGGCCGAAUCUCCCUCAAGAAUGAUACGGUCCAUGUCCAGUGUCUGCCACGCAUAAUAGAUACCUUCUCAGGCUGCUCUAAGCUCGGCACAUACCACUGACGAGUCAAAGGUCUGUCGAUCCCCUGUUGCAACUAAUCUGGCAUCGUGGUCUCGGAUGGCGAACCCCACACCGCUGCAUCUCCUAUCAUCAGCCACGCUGCCGUUGAAGUUCACCUUAAGGAAGCCAGAAGGUGGGGGCACCUUGGAGACGAGUACUGUUCUGGACGUUGCAUGAGCAGAAUGGGGGCCCCAAAUGUUCCUAGCCAACUCAGGUAAUACCUCUGUAGCCUGGUGAUCUCCAUCGCAUACAAAAAAGCUCUAGCCGCUGUCACCCUCAGUUGAGGGCUGACACCUUCAAAAACUUGAACAUUCCUAUCCAGCCAACACUGGUAGCCAGAUAGGCAGCGCGAGUCCCACCCUUCUCAAGCUCAGAUCCUCAUGUCAAGGCCUCCAAAAAUCAUAAAAAAUCCUCAAUGGACGACCAUCUCUGCUACUAGUCCAGCUAGCCCGAAGUACAUCACCAAAUCUGACCGGCUCAGGGGCAUCCGAUGAGGGCAUGGUAGAUGGACUCCUCUACCUUCGGACAAGACACAUAAGCUAUAGGGACCCUCACACCCCAUCUCUCCAACAUAGCUCUGGUGGGCAAGCAUCCCUUGGCUCCAUUCUAGAGAAACAAGGCAACCCGUGGGUGAAUGUGCAUCCUCCAAAUCUAUCUGCUCUCCAUCUGUCGAGUUGAAGGCUCUCGGACCAGCCUCGAAAGGUCUCGGGCCUUCACCACCGGUGACCCAAUCAUGCUCCACACUCUCUUGUCCGUUGUUGCCACCUCCGAGAUGGGCACAACUAGAACUCGCUCAACCAGCUGCUCUCCGAACAUGUGCCUAACGAGAUCCUCAUCCCACCUCUACUCCCCUCUGACGAAGAGCUUGCAUACCCUGCGGCCCUCUAGCCACUCAUGGUCGGCCAUGGUGGGCCAACCCUACAGUGUACCCUUGGAUAAUCACCUAUCCUCCAGAAUUCCGACUGUCCGGUCAUCCCUGAUCUUCUAUCUGAUCGUCGAUAUUACCUUUGGGUCACGCAGAAAUUUAGCUAUUAAAAUCUUCUAUUUAUUAUAAUUUAUUAUAAUGUCAUAUUAUAUUUCACAAAUAAUUGACAAAAGGAGAUAAAACUAUACCUUGCGCGAGCUAGUAUUAAUGAUGCUGGUAUUAAUGAUGAAAAUUUCUAUAUGGAGUCUUAGCUUGUGCAUCUUUGUUUGCCAUUUUUAUAUCAAUAUGAAGCCAGUAUAGUAACUAGAGUUUCUCGGCUGUCAUUAAAGUUUAUUGCAUAAUGCAUAAUAGAAAGUUGACUAUUAAGUCUUCUAUUCGUUAUAAUUUAUUGCAUUACCUGUAUUUCAAGAAUAGUUAGAAACAAGAGAAAAAUCAUAUUCUGUAUAUAGUAUGGGUUAUAUGCUAGUUAACACAUAUUUUGCAGCAUUUAAUGUGCAUCGAAAUUGUCCUUUAGAAAUAUGAUUCAUGUAUAUGUUAAUGCAUGUUUUAAAUCAAAUGUUUGCAAUCCAUGAGAUCAAUGGUAAGAAGUACAAAGUUGAUAACUUUCUAUUUUUAAGGUUACUAAGAAAAUGAAAUAAGCAGAUUUCUUAAACUAUCUAUUUUUUGACAAUUAGAUGCAUAGGAUAGGAAUCACUAAAUCAUAUGAUUAUUUUGACAAUAAGUAGCUUCAAGAUAGUAGAUUACAUGCAACAGUUUAGAUCAUUGGUGGAUUGGCCUCUGGUCACCUCGUUAGUCAGCUUUAAGUCCGAAAUAUAGCUUGUUUAAGAAAUAAAUUGACUUUGUGUUAUAAAUUUUUCUUCCUCACCUAGACUACAGUUGACCCAUAUGCCAGCAUUAGAUGACUUGACCGGACCUUACUUCUUUUGUUUCGACUUAACACUAGAAACCUUGACUAUAAAAUUACUAAACCCUUUAUCAUUUGUACAAUUCCUAAUUACUUAGGUUUAUAGGUUGGAUAUUAAGCCUCUUUUUUCAUAAAUUAAUGGUUCAUUAAAAGUCAUGUUCUUGUUGUCAACAUCAUAGUAGCAUAUGCUUUUUAAAAUCUCUAUACUUGUUAUCUAUAUCAUUAUUAAUUUUUCUUAAGAAUAUAUAAUAAUGUUGCGUUUUUUGUAAUAUUGCAUUGAACAUGAACCUUGACAUCGAUCGAUCCUGGUCCAUACCCAAAUGCAUUUAGUUGGGUUUGGAUUGUUUUGACUUGACCCGGAUCUGGACAGUUUUACUUAAUCUGACCCAAUUCAUCAAUAGGUCGGAUCGUGAUCUGAAAUUGCGUUCAAAUAAAAUUGGGUUUGGCCCGCACCAUGUUUUCGAUGAAAUUGAUCUGAAAUUUCAUCGAUCCCGACACAACAUAGUUAUCGGUUUGAUUAUGGUGGAAGCCAUGGAUGAUAGUUGGGUCAUAAGUUGAGAUGAUGUGAAUAUGUUGUCCGUUUUCCUUUGAACAAUCUAGGAGUUGAGCCCUUAGACCUCCUCCAAAGGAGUGAAGGACAAAGUCCAUCUGAGAAAAGUGCCCCAGCCAACUUUUAUUGUUGCUACCUAUAAAUACAAUCGCUGAAUUCAGAGGGAAGGAGGAAGCCACCUACUCCUUAUAUGAAGAGCCGAGUCAUCCAACUUAUGCUUUGCAUUGUUGUGGUUCAUGGUCCUCUAUAUUAUUUGAUCAUUGGCGCUAACCAGGCUUAUGUUAUGGUGGUCAGCAACAUUUAAUAUAUUUGCAAUUGCUGUCUAUAAAGAUUUAUUAUUUCUGCCUAGAGACCUGCUAUUUAAAGUCUUUUGGAUGCAAGAUAUUGGCUAAAAUUUCAAUACCAAGACCUAGGAAUAUGAUUUUUUUUCUUUGUUGGUGCGGCAUCAUGUUAUUUAAAUGAGUAAUGCUAAUUGGUUUUCAUCUGUCCGAACAAAUCUUGAACCCACAUGUGAUAAAUUAAAGGGUGUAACUUGGUUGGGCUCAAUCGAAACCCACUCAUCCAACCUGCUCAUUGAGUUAGUUAGCUUGUAGCUAUACAAAUUUGGAUUAGGGUUGAGCUCAAAAAUAUCAACCCGAUCAUUGGUUAGGUUAGGUUAGGGUUGAUCUCCAAUCUGACUAAACUUGAUCGAAGCCCAACCUGACCUGAUCCAAGCUAACCCAACCUAGCAUAAAAGUUAAAUAAUUUGUAUAUCAUAUUGAUUCAUAUUUAUGUUUCAUAUGGAUUAUAUAUGUUCUUAAUCUUGUAAGUUGUUAUUUAAACUAAUAAAUGAUUGAGCCUUAAACCAACAGAAGUAUCCCAAAUCCUUUAUUUUAAAGUUCUUUUUCAGCCCAAUCUAAUCCGAUUUAUAUGGCCCAACUUGACCCAACCUGACUAAUUUGACCUAAUCUGAAUCCAGUUUAAGCGGUGAUUGGGUUGGGUUUAGAAAUUUCAACCCGCUUUCUGUUCGGGUUGGGUAAGGAUUGGGAUAUAUAGAUUGUAUUGGGUUAGUAUUUGCUCUUUACCUGUUUCGAGGUCUAAGUUGCAGCCUUUAGUAAAUUUACCUGAGUUACUUUUUUCCCUCUUUCAUCCUAAACCUAGGAUCCUCUGUGGUAUACUAUUUGCAUCGUAGAAUGCUGUGCAGCACUUAAUGGCUAUCAUCAGAAAAUGAACGGCCAUCAAAAGAGGGCACCGUAUAUGACAUGUAAAGUUAUUUGUUUUGAUGAUUAUUUAUCUGCCAGUGAUAGCCAUCGAGUGCUACACAAUACUUUAUGGUGCCAAUGAUAUUGAGAAUCUAUGCUUCCCAUCAUGGUAUGCAUAAUGAUAAAGCAUUUGGACCAUCUUGAUGCCCUUUGCAAGUAGUUUUCUCUUAGACGUCACACAGAGCAUACCACUAAUUCUACAUUAAAUUCACGUAUUGGGAUGCAUGACUGAUGCCAGUGGAACCAUAAAGAAGAAAGUUAGAAGAACGAUAGAGACCUUAUCAUUCCUCUCUCUCAACCCUUUCCAAAGUUUCAAAUAAUAUCAUAAUCUCAUUACCCUAGCUUUUCAUUGCGGUCAAUAUCAUAGCAAUAGAGGGCUUUGAUGGUGGAAGCCUAUUCAAAGAAGACCUGAUUUGUCAACUAAUUAAUAAUGCAAAUGCUAAAUAGUCCCUCGCCCUUUAUGCGCCUUUAUACGCUUAAAGCAUACAAAGUGAAGUCUCAACGAGCCAAAUUGAGUACGGCCUUAGACCUUUCUUCGGAAGACAGGAAAGAGUCGAAUUACUUAUCUAUUAGAGAACUAUCUCUCCAGGGAUUGUGAAAGAUGUUCCGCUAGAAAUAAUUGCUUCAACUCAUAUUCCUCCAAAAGUGGAUUCCGUUCUAACAGCUCCGAAUAAAUUAAAUAUGUGCAUUAAGUUAAGUUAGCCUUACCAUUCAUCUCCAAUCAUUCUUGAUGAGAUGCCAAUAUGAUUGAUGCUUAUAAAAUGAUUAUCUUGCACCUUGUCUCACCUAACACCCACACGUGCUCAUGUAUUAUAGCAGGGAUGAUGCUACGUUUACUCAAAAAUCUCCUUUGGUGCAUAUGAUCUCCAUUGGCAUAAGGUCUGAGAAUGAUGGAUGGUGGAAGUACUAUAACAAAAAAAAAAGUAAUAACAAGAUGUGUUGAUAUAUAGAUCCAAAUCAAUGCUUCCAAAAUAAGCAUCAUUCAUUAUUUAUUCCCAUUAAACUUUAUCAGAGUAGUAAUGGUACCAUAGAAAAAAAUAAAGAGUUCAUUUUUUAUUAUUUUAUGAUAAAAAGAAAAAUACUUAACAUGACAGCAUCAUUCAUCAGUUCUUGUUUGCACCAAACCAUAAACAAACUCACCUGAUGCUCAUGUUUUCUUGCAUCGCAGCAAUCUCUAAUCACGCUUAUUAGCGGCAAUACUUCAAAAGAAAACAACAACAAAUAACAAAAAUUUAAUUACAUUAUUAAUCAUAAAUAGAUACUUUGUUUUUACUUGGAGAUAGAUGUCAAAUGAUGGCCGUUAUAACAAUAGUGACAGUUGCAUGACAAAAGACCGCUAUCAUAGCCGUUAUAAUUAUAACGUACCCGUUUAUGCUGUACCGCUAAUUGAUCAAUAUCACUUAUCAUCAUCGGGUGGUCCACGUCGCAGGCGGCGGAGGCGCCAGGGAGAGGGGCAGAAUCGUGAAUCUGCGGAAAUCCACGGGCUUUUGUGAAAACUUCUCCUCCUCAGGGUUUUUCUUUCCCCCGUCGGUUGCUCGGGAGGAAAGAAGCCCUGCCGUGGAACUCUAUCUUCUCUUGUUCGAAAACAUAGAAGCUAGAUUCGGGAGAAGAAACCCUAGGCCCUCGAUCGUCGGGGGAGACGGACAUCUCUUUCUCGCUCUCGUCGUUUUCGAUGUCGUGCGGAUGCGUUGUUCUCCAAGAAGUGGAAGACGGCGAGGAGGCCAAGUCCAAGACCAGGGUUUCUUCUUCUUCUUCUUCUUCUUCUUCCUUGGGCCCUCGGAGAUGCCGGUCGGAGAGCAUGUUCCCCAUGUACGCCAUGGGGAAUUGGAGGCCCAAUGCGAUAUCCCGGACGAUCCUCGAUUCUGCCGGCGAUUCCAUUUGGGAUUCCGUGAGAGCGGAAUCGAAGUCCGAGGUUGCAGUUUUUCCUCCUCUCUUGCUUUUCUUUUGGUUAAUUGAGUCGCGGCAGUGGAAAAACUUCCAAUUUUUGUGUAUGUAUAGCUAGGAGAUGAUAUGGUCAGUCAAACAAAGCCGAGGGUCCAGAUUAAAAUGGAAUUAUCGAUUUUUAAUAGUGUUUGGAUUUAUAGUAGCUUAAAGGUUCUUGAUUUGACAUGGUCAUAGAGGUUAAUUUAUCCAUCGAUGGGUAAAAUUAUGAAGUAUAAAUGGAAACCGGGACCCUAUUCCAUCUGAAGUCCACUUCACCAAAAUUGUUAGAGUCUCGUGAUUUUGGAACAUAUAUCGUUAACACCUUUUAUUUGGUUAAAGAGAUAUCAUAAAGCUGCUACCUUUCUGUUUUCCUUCUAAAUGGAGGUGGUAAGCUCCUUGUAAAAUGUGAACAAGUGAAAGAUUACGAGAAUUUCAUGACCUGAUUAUGAUAAGUGAGGCAAUAUUACAGCUUCCUUGUUCUGGUCAUCAUACGUUAAUCAUAUUGCCUAUCAAGUUAUUUUCAUGCUUACAACAAUUACAUAUUGUUGUAAUGAAUUUAUCCAAUAUAUAUGUUUGAGUUAUUUGACCUAUGUAGCUGCGAUAUGUCCUGCUGAUGUGGUUAAAGUGUCUUUUUUUUCAUGCUCGAAGUUCCUAAUCAGUGUAUAUGCAUAUUUUCAGGCUGAGAGGGAGCCAAUUUUAAGUAGUUUUUUGUAUGCCAGUGUUUUAUCUCAUGAUUGUUUGGAGCGGGCAUUGGGGUUUGUACUUGCCAACAGGCUCCAGAACCCGACACUACUGGAUACUCAACUAAUAGACAUUUUUGAUGAUGUUAUGAUGAAGGAUAGAGGUAUUCAACGUGCCAUUCGCCUAGAUGCUCAGGUGAUUCCUUUGCCUUUUAAUGGAGGCAUCUGAAUUUCACCUUUAUCUAUAUCUUCAGUAGUUGAAGGUAUUUGAUGUUAAGAGAAGAUCAUUGACCAUAAGUAGAAAUACUUUUUCUAUAC